GCGAGGGUGGCGGAACUGGUAUACGCGCUGGAUUUAGGAUCCAGUGGGGCAACCCAUGGGGGUUCGAGUCCCCCCUCUCGCA
rnacentral:tRNA from 1 species